rnacentral:rRNA from 1 species
AUUGGAUUGAGAACAACGUACAAACCUUAUCGAUAAACAAUUGGAGGGCAAGUCUGGUGCCAGCAGCCGCGGUAAUUCCAGCUCCAAUAGCGUAUAUUAACGUUGUUGCAGUUAAAAAGCUCGUAGUUGAAAUGAAGGGUAGUUGUGUAAUGAAUACAUUCGUGUAUUUUGUUAUUCUACUACCCUCCUUCUAAAUUCGAUAUAUGAGUAUUAAUUUACUUGUAUAUGGUUUUAGACAUUUACUGUGAGAAAAUUAGAGUGUUCAAAGCAGGCAUUUGCUUGAAUAUAUUAGCAUGGAAUAAUCAUGUAUGAUUUUCAUGAUGUAUUUGAUUGGUUUGGUUCAUGAGAAUAAGAUUAAAAGGGACAGUUGGGGGUAUUCAUAUUCAAUAGUCAGAGGUGAAAUUCUCGGAUUUAUGGAAGAUGAACAAGUGCGAAAGCAUUUACCAAGGAUGUUUUCAUUAAUCAAGAACGAAAGUUAGGGGAUCGAAGAGGAUUAGAUACCCUCGUA